rnacentral:misc_RNA from 1 species
UACGGAGGGUGCAAACGUUGCUCGGAAUCACUGGGCGUAAAGCGCACGUAGGCGGCCAAGUAAGUUGGGUGUGAAAGCCCUGGGCUCAACCCAGGAAGUGCAUCCAAAACUGCUUGGCUUGAGUACCGGAGGGGUUCAGAGAAUUCUCGGUGUAGAGGUGAAAUUCGUAGAUAUCGGGAGGAAUACCAGUGGCGAAGGCGCUGAACUGGACGGUAACUGACGCUGAGGUGCGAAAGCGUGGGUAGCAAACAGG